GCCGUGGGGGGCGUUUAGGCGUUUGGGAUAUCGACGGCUUGGAAAAUUUACUCAGCCCUACAAGAAGUUGACAGGCCAGCACGGAGUUCAUUGAGCCGGAGACCGAUGAGCUUUCUGUUUGCUUUUUCUUCAACUCUUCCCCUGUUGCUGUCCGUUUCAGCUGGUGGAUGAUUCCAAAUGAUAUCUUUUGUUCCAAGAGUCAGAAUUCUGUGUCCUGAGUCGAAGACCCGUAGUGGGAGUUACCAAGGCCGAGCAGAGGAUAAUGAGGUAGGUUAGGUAGACAGACCCUCUCGGAAACGCUUGUUCCAAUGGGAUCGCGCUGCAUCGUCACCAGCUUCACCGGCCGGUCAUCUUUCAAAUGACGGCAGUUGGGGUAAUUUGUAAUAUAUUCGACUAGGGAUCUUUGGUUGAUAAUUGCCGGGCUUGAGCGCAGAGGGGGUUUUUUUCCAUUGUUAUUUUAUUAUUUUAUUAUUUUUUUUCUCAUGUUUGCUGACGACGAUAUUCGGUGCACCACCAAAGCCGGAUUGCCGAAUUCCCCCGUAACGUCACCCCCAUGACAACAUUGUUGUAUACACGUCGCAGAGCCAUAGUUUUUGUAUUUCCUCGUCCCCCUGCUGGCCUUCGCCGAAUUCAGACUCCCAUUCCUGUAUACUUGAUUAGAACACGGUA
rnacentral:sRNA from 1 species